GAGGGGGAGGUCUAAACCAACGAGAACUGCUAAUUCUCGCACCUGAGCGUAAAACCUCAGCCCCCUUA
rnacentral:tRNA from 1 species